UAGAAUCGCGUCGAUUUUGAGCUGCGGUUUGGUUUCAGCUGCGGAACUGUAUUGGAUAGCGGCUGUUCAGUAAAAUCGCUGUAAUUCAAUCGUUUUGGGUAUAUAUAGUGAAGAAUCAGCAAAUUUCCAUCUUUUGUUUCUCGGACGAACACAAAUGGGAGCAGAGGCAAAGGACACACCUCCGCGCAUGAAUCCUUGCCGCCGUGUACCUCUGCUCGUCAGUACCAGUUGCUACGCGCUUCCCCUUGUUGGUGGGUCCAUCGUCAAGCUGCUCCCUGCUUCCUCUGGUCCCGUCCUUAGGUCUGCUCAGGAAAAAUUGUUCCUUCAGAGGUGACAGUGAAGCUUCUGCCAAAAGCACUGACAGUUAACCAAGCAAGAGAGGAUGACAAGAUUGAAACAAUAAAGAAGCGAUUUAAAGUUUUCUUGGAGUCUAGUCCACCUGUGAUUUCUUAUUAUGGUGAGAAAGGAAAAGUUCACAAGCAAGGACUUCUGAUCAGAUUUUUAAGUUAGUCAAGACAAUCUUUGAAGCACAAGAUUAGAUGGGAAUUAGGCUGUUGCUGUUAAUGAUGGUGGCAUGAAGGUAAAGAAGAAAGUGUGAAAUCAAGAGCACUUACAGAGAAACAUGCACGGGACAGCUUUGAAAAUCUUCUAUUCAGUGUGUGUCGGUUCCGAGAGCUUACAGGCACCUAUCCCCUAAAUAUAACUGAUUGUUGACUCAAUAGUAUCGCAUGAAUGAAUUCCGUGGAAGGACAGAGUGAAAAAUAGAAUUCUAGGAUUGAACUUAUUUUGAUUUGAAGCAAACAUUUUUUUUGAAUUUGACUAUGCAAUUCUUAGCAAGAGAUUUGCUAUGUUAAUAUUUUUAUAAAUAUAUUAUUUUAUUUUUCAGUUAA